rnacentral:rRNA from 1 species
GACGUAGGGCGCGAGCGUUGUCCGGAAUUAUUGGGCGUAAAGAGCUCGUAGGCGGCUUGUCACGUCGGAUGUGAAAGCCCGGGGCUUAACCCCGGGUCUGCAUUCGAUACGGGCUAGCUAGAGUGUGGUAGGGGAGAUCGGAAUUCCUGGUGUAGCGGUGAAAUGCGCAGAUAUCAGGAGGAACACCGGUGGCGAAGGCGGAUCUCUGGGCCAUUACUGACGCUGAGGAGCGAAAGCGUGGGGAGCGAACAGG